GUCGUGGGAGAAUGUCGUAGCAAUUUUGCUAGUAAACCGGCGCUUUGGUGAGUAAUUGAGAUUGGACAACUCGCCCUUGAGUCUGGGAUAACCCGUCGAAAGUUUAGCUAAUACCGGAUAAGACCACAGGAAGUUCGCUUCCCGAGGUAAAAGAUGGCCUCUGCUCCUGCAAGCUAUCACUCAUGGAGAAGUUCGUUUUCCGUAUCAGCUAGUUGGUGAGGUAUUUGCCCACCAAGGCUAAGUUUGGUAGCUGGUCUGAGAGGAUGGUCAGCCACACCGGGACUGAGAUUGAGAUGCCCAGAGUCCUUUUGGAUGCAGCAGUCAGGAAUAUUGCGCAAUGGAGGAAACUCUGUUUCAGCGUUUCCGCGUGGGUGAUGAAGGCCUUCGGGUCGUAAAGCCCUGUCGGAGGGGAAGAAAAGUGGUCUGGCUAAUAUCCAGGCCGCUCUUGUUUGUACCCUCAAAGGAAGCACCGGCUAACUCCGUGCCAGCAGCCGCGGUAAGUUUGAGGGUGCAAGCGUUGUUCGGAUUGACUGGGCGUAAAGGGCGUGUAGGCGGUUGGUCAAGUCUGGUGUGAAAGCCCGGGGCUCAGCUCCGGAAGUGCAUCGGAAACUAGCCGACUGGAGCGCGAUAGAGGAGGGUGGAAUUCCUGGUGUAGCGGUGAAAUGCGUAGAUAUCUUUAGGAACACCGGCGGCGAAAGUUUUCCGCUCUGGAUCGUUGCUGUUUCUGAGUUUCGAAAGCGUGGGGAGCAAACAGGAUUAGAUACCCUGGUAGUCCUUUCUGUAAU
rnacentral:rRNA from 1 species